rnacentral:rRNA from 1 species
AGAGUUUGAUCCUGGCUCAGGAUGAACGCUGGCGGCGUGCCUAACACAUGCAAGUCGAACGAAGCUUGACGGAUGAUUUCUUCGGAAUGAAACCAGAUAUGACUUAGUGGCGGACGGGUGAGUAACACGUGAGCAACCUGCCUUUCAGAGGGGGAUAACGGCUGGAAACGGUCGCUAAUACCGCAUGACGUGUUCGGAUGGCAUCAUCUGAACAUCAAAGAUUUAUCGCUGAAAGAUGGGCUCGCGUCUGAUUAGAUAGUUGGUGGGGUAACGGCCUACCAAGUCGACGAUCAGUAGCCGGACUGAGAGGUUGAACGGCCACAUUGGGACUGAGAUACGGCCCAGACUCCUACGGGAGGCAGCAGUGGGGAAUAUUGCACAAUGGGGGAAACCCUGAUGCAGCAACGCCGCGUGAAGGAUGACGGUUUUCGGAUUGUAAACUUCUUUUCUUAGUGACGAAGACAGUGACGGUAGCUAAGGAAUAAGCAUCGGCUAACUACGUGCCAGCAGCCGCGGUAAUACGUAGGAUGCAAGCGUUAUCCGGAUUUACUGGGUGUAAAGGGAGCGCAGGCGGGACUGCAAGUUGGAUGUGAAAUACCGUGGCUUAACCACGGAACUGCAUCCAAAACUGUAGUUCUUGAGUGAAGUAGAGGCAAGCGGAAUUCCGAGUGUAGCGGUGAAAUGCGUAGAUAUUCGGAGGAACACCAGUGGCGAAGGCGGCUUGCUGGGCUUUAACUGACGCUGAGGCUCGAAAGUGUGGGGAGCAAACAGGAUUAGAUACCCUGGUAGUCCACACUGUAAACGAUGAUAGCUAGGUGUGGGGGGUCUGACCCCUUCCGUGCCGGAGUUAACGCAAUAAGCUAUCCACCUGGGGAGUACGACCGCAAGGUUGAAACUCAAAGGAAUUGACGGGGGCC